AUUGAGCGCUGGCGGCAUGCCUUACACAUGCAAGUCGAGCGAGGACUUCGGUCCUAGCGGCGGACGGGUGAGUAACGCGUGGGAACGUGCCCCUUGGUACGGAAUAGCCCCGGGAAACUGGGAGUAAUACCGUAUGAGCUCUACGGAGGAAAGAUUUAUCGCCAAGGGAUCGGCCCGCGUUGGAUUAGGUAGUUGGUGGGGUAAUGGCCUACCAAGCCGACGAUCCAUAGCUGGUUUGAGAGGAUGAUCAGCCACACUGGGACUGAGACACGGCCCAGACUCCUACGGGAGGCAGCAGUGGGGAAUAUUGGACAAUGGGCGAAAGCCUGAUCCAGCAAUGCCGCGUGAGUGAUGAAGGCCUUAGGGUUGUAAAGCUCUUUUACCUGGGAUGAUAAUGACAGUACCAGGAGAAUAAGCCCCGGCUAACUCCGUGCCAGCCGCCGCCGUAAGAC
rnacentral:rRNA from 1 species